rnacentral:rRNA from 1 species
UUUUCUAUCGCAUGGUGAGAAGAAGAAAAAGGACGGCCUCUACACAAAGCGGUCGCCGAAGGAGGGGUUUUGCGUCUGAUUAGCUAGUUGGAGGGGUAACGGCCCAACAAGGCGACCGAUCAGUAGCCGGUCUGAGAGGAUGAACGGCCACAUUGGGACUGAGACACGGCCCAGACUCCUACGGGAGGCAGCAGUGGGGAAUCUUCCGCAAUGGACGAAAGUCUGACGGAGCAACGCCGCGUGAGUGAAGACGGUCUUCGGAUUGUAAAGCUCUGUUAUACGGGACGAACGGCAAGGUGGUAAAUAGCCAUCAUGAGUGACGGUACCGUAAGAGAAAGCCACGGGCUAACUACGUGCCAGCAGCCGCGGUAAAU